rnacentral:rRNA from 1 species
GACGAACGCUGGCGGCGUGCUUAACACAUGCAAGUCGAACGGCAAGGCCCUGCUGUUGUGGGGUGCUCGAGUGGCGAACGGAUGAGUAACAAGUGAGUAACCUGCCCUUGACUUUGGGAUAACUACAGGAAACUGGGGCUAAUACCGGAUAGGAGCUCCUGCUGAAUGGUGGGGGUUGGAAAGUUUCGGCGGUUGGGGAUGGACUCGCGGCUUAUCAGCUUGUUGGUGGGGUAGUGGCUUACCAAGGCUUUGACGGGUAGCCGGCCUGAGAGGGUGACCGGCCACAAUGGGACUGAGAGACGGCCCAGACUCCUACGGGGGGCAGCAGUGGGGAAUAUUGCACAAUGGGCGGAAGCCUGAUGCAGCAGCGCCGCGUGCGGAAUGACGGCCUUCGGGUUGUAAACCGCUUUCGCCUGUGACGAAGCGUGAGUGACGGUAAUGGGUAAAGAAGCACCGGCUAACUACGUG